rnacentral:rRNA from 1 species
UACGGAGGGAGCUAGCGUUAUUCGGAAUUACUGGGCGUAAAGCGCACGUAGGCGGCUUUGUAAGUUAGAGGUGAAAGCCUGGAGCUCAACUCCAGAAUUGCCUUUAAGACUGCAUCGCUUGAAUCCAGGAGAGGUGAGUGGAAUUCCGAGUGUAGAGGUGAAAUUCGUAGAUAUUCGGAAGAACACCAGUGGCGAAGGCGGCUCACUGGACUGGUUUUGACGCUGAGGUGCGAAAGCGUGGGGAGCAAACAGG